UGACCCCCUACAUGAGAUUUGGGUAGUGGAGGCAAAAAAAACUAACUCCGCUGACCCCCUACUAGACCCUUGAGAUUUGUUGGCCUCCUACUUUCACCAUCCACUACCCAUUCGUAUUGGCCCCUACUGGACUACCAAAAAAUUUCUUCGUAGUUUUCUUCCCUGUCUAGAUGUCUUCUGCCGCCCCGCACAGCAGCCCUACCUGGCUGACUCCCCGUCUGCUCCACUCUAGUGCGCCUCAACACAACAUCGCGGCCAGCCCCCUCGCAGGUGGGCCUCCCUGGAGCGGCAACUCAGGCAGGCGUGGCAGGCUCCUAGUGGCGGGCCUCCCCAACGUGGCCCCGCUGGCUGUGCUCCAUCUAUCGAGGCAAGAGGUAGCGAGGCAGAGGAGCUCAUCCAUAGAGAAGAAUACAACAAAGAGAAUAACAUGUGGGUCCCUGUUGUCAUUCUCUACUAGAAUAGAUUUUGGGGUGUGUUUUAGGUAGUACUACUGGAGAAAAUAAAAAAAAGGAGUAGUACCAAAAUAAGUGGCAACCCAAACUAAGUAGUAGGGGUCUAAUUUAGGUAAUACCACUGGAGAUGGUCUUAGUGUGUGUGCGUUGUGGCUUAUGUGUUGUACUAUAAAAAAAUAAAGUAUCAUCCUAUCAUUAAAUAUAUACCAUUGUAUUUCUCUACCAAAUUAUAUCCUAGUUGUCAAGGGCAUGUCAAUGUCCACUGCGCGUGUGGCCAAAAGCAGAUCGCGACAGGUUGCGACAUCUCAUUAUGAGUAAGAUGCAUAAUCGAGCAAGGCCUAUCAAGAUCCUGGUGACUAAAAUUUAGUCACCCCUUUUACUCCCCUUUUAGUCUCUAAAGACCCAAACACAAUGACUAAAGGGAUUAGUCUAUUAGUCCCUUGGGAUUGACCAAAGGGGACUAAACCAGCAAAAAGAAACCCCCCCCAUCAUUAAUGCACUGCACAACCAUGCGUGACUCCACCUCGUGUGUCACCGCCACACCAUCGCUGGAACCCACCACGCACCAACGCUAGACUCCACCGCUGCACCCAUGUUAGACUCCACCUCGUCCACCGCUGCUGCACCCAGGCCAAAACUCCACCUCAUACACCCCACGAGGUCACGCCAACAUGCCGACUAGACACACUUACCAUGGUCGGCCAUGCUCGCCCUAGCAGGAUCCGCCUUCACAUGCGCCUCCUCUUUCUGUCGCAUCUGCCAUGGUGCCACUGCCGUCCCUACCGCCCCACUAUAGCAUCCGCUCGGCUCCUCUCUUACCCCUUGCUCCACCUCGCGAACCCUACCAUAUCAAGACCUUGCCUAGCCGCUGCCACAACUAGCCUUGUGAGGGCGUGGCCCCCUGGCCUUCGGCACAACUAUCCUAGUUGGGGCGCUGCGAAGGAGAGGCAAAGGAGGAGGCGAAGGAGGAGCAUUAAAGGUGCUUUGGUCUUUGUAUAGUAGCUUUAGUGGGGGUAUUCAUCCAUCCAUCCAAACAUUGUUGAGACUAAAGGAUCCAAACAUGCUAGUAAACAAUUGAUUUCUUCAUCUAGCUCAAAACGGGGGCUAUAAUAUAAUAUAGAAGCCUAAAUAUAAUUUCUUUUUUCAAAUCUCAUUAGAGUAGUUCUAGUUAGAAUUACAUUCAACAAACACG
rnacentral:lncRNA from 1 species